AUACAAAAUCGACUUUUGUGAGACAAAAUUGACUUUUGUCUCACAAAAAAAUUGACUUUUGUCUCACAAAAUUGAAUUUUGUCUCACAAAAGUCAAUUUUGUCUCACACAAUU
rnacentral:sRNA from 1 species